rnacentral:rRNA from 1 species
UACGGGGGGGGCAAGCGUUGUUCGGAAUUACUGGGCGUAAAGGGCGCGUAGGCGGCACGGCAAGUCGGGAGUGAAAGCCCGGGGCUCAACCCCGGAGGGUCUUCCGAAACUGCCGAGCUAGAGUGCGGAAGAGGCAACCGGAAUUCCCAGUGUAGCGGUGAAAUGCGUAGAUAUUGGGAAGAACACCGGUGGCGAAGGCGGCUCUCUGGACCGACACUGACGCUGAGGCGCGAAAGCGUGGGGAGCAAACAGG